rnacentral:lncRNA from 1 species
CAUACUGGCUGCACCAAACUACAGUCCCACCAACAGCUAGCCCAAACUUUUGAAACAUUUUCCCUUUGCCUCCUUUAGAUGCCCCUGGUUACUGCCCAGCUGCAUGUUUGGGGCUCCACAAAGCAUGAACAUCACAGCCAUUCAUUAGCCUGAGAACCUGGACUAGCCUGGGGACGUGAGCCUACAUUCAAGAGGGUUACAAGGCCAAAUCUGUGCCAGGUGGAGGAUGGAUGGGUGCCUGGGAUGCCCGAUGGAAGCCAGCACGGUGGGCCAGGAAGAGAUGGCCCAAACAAAGUUUGGUGUUUUUGAGAACUUGACAUUUCCCUUCCCCGGUGCCCACAGCUGCAGGAGCAUCAUCGGCUAGCACGUGGCAUCUUUUGGGUACUUGGGAGUCACUACAGCUUCCAGGGCUUCAGCGUGUUAAAGUGUCCUGGGGAGACCACACAGCAGCCAUCUAUACUGGGUGAAAUUUUUCUGCUCCUGGAGGAUCAGCUGAGUCAUGACUUCCUCUG